UAGGAGGUGGUGUAAUGGGAGCACUGAAAGUUUUGAUCUUUCUGGUGGAGGUUCAAGUCCUUCUCUCCUAG
rnacentral:tRNA from 1 species